CUCCCUUGAUUGCUCAUGAGCUCCUUGAGAAGAGUCUGAUUUUCAGCACUUUGAACAGUGUGACACAUAUAUGCUUCAUAUGCAGAGAAGGACAUGAUUUCACUACAGUGUAACUAUUCCCAGAAUUCAAUGCCUGUAUUUCUAAAUUGUUCUAGAUACUCUGCAACAACCUGAGAAUGUUAUGUUUUUCCCUAAAACUUCCAUCCAUUACUGAGUGUCUAUGGUCAUAGUUAACUCAAUUGCAAUGUGACCUCUGGCCAAGCCCAUUCCUAGUUUUUUUUUUAGGUGAUUUUUAAUUUUAAAUUUUUAUUUUGAUUGUUUCCUUUUUGUUUUUUCUAAUCUAGCAGUGGUUGGUAAAUUUCAACAUCUGUAUAUCCCUGUGUCUUUGCACCUGCUGGUCUCUGCUUGGAAUAUCUCAAGGUUUUAUUCACCUGGAAAAAAUUUCUACUCACCCUUAAAGAAUCAGCUUAAAUAGCGUUUCUCACCUCUGGAGGACUCAGCAUUCAAGGUGCCAUCUUGGAAGCAGAGAGCAGCCCUCACUAGACUACAAACCUGCUGGCGCUUUGAUCUUGGACUUCCCACCCACCAGAACUCUCUCCACUCCCUUCCUAGACUUUCUUCAUAGAGCCAGAAGAGGGUACCUGAAUUGGCCUGGACUGCUC
rnacentral:lncRNA from 1 species